CCAAUAGCGUAUAUUAAAGUUGUUGCAGUUAAAAAGCUCGUAGUUGAAUUUCGGGAUCAUCAGGUCGGUCGUGCCUCCGGUAUGUACUGGUCUCGGUGGUUCCUCCUUCUUGUAGAACCGUAAUGCCAUUAAUUUGGUGUUGCGGGAAAACAGGACUGUUACUUUGAAAAAAUUAGAGUGUUUAAAGCAGGCGAUCGCUUGAAUACAUUAGCAUGGAAUAAUGAAAUAGGACGUUCGAUCCUAUUUUGUUGGUUUCUAGGAUUGACGUAAUGAUUAAUAGGGAUAGUUGGGGGCAUUAGUAUUCAAUUGUCAGAGGUGAAAUUCUUGGAUUUAUUGAAGACUAACUACUGCGAAAGCAUUUGCCAAGGAUGUUUUCAUUAAUCAAGAACGAAAGUUAGGGGAUCGAAGACGAUCAGAUACCGUCGUAGUCUUAACCAUAAACUAUGCCGACUAGGGAUCGGAUGAUGUUAAUUUUUUAAUGACUCAUUCGGCGCCUUACG
rnacentral:rRNA from 1 species